UAACCUGCCCAAGAGACUGGGAUAACACCUGGAAACAGAUGCUACUACCGGAUAACAACACUAGACGCAUGUCUAGAGUUUAAAAGAUGGUUCUGCUAUCACUCUUGGAUGGACCUGCGGUGCAUUAGCUAGUUGGUAAGGUAACGGCUUACCAAGGCAAUGAUGCAUAGCCGAGUUGAGAGACUGAUCGGCCACAUUGGGACUGAGACACGGCCCAAACUCCUACGGAAGGCAGCAG
rnacentral:rRNA from 1 species